UCGUCAACGAUCUCGAUGAGCUGGUGGC
rnacentral:piRNA from 1 species